CCCGUCGUAGCUCAGCGGUAGAGCGCCCGGCUGUAGAUGGAGGGCGGUAACCGGGUGGUCCGGGGUUCGAAAGGUUGACUACUCCACCCGAAGAUCCCCGCGACGGGA
rnacentral:tRNA from 1 species